UGGGGAAUAUUGCACAAUGGGCGCAAGCCUGAUGCAGCCAUGCCGCGUGUAUGAAGAAGGCCUUCGGGUUGUAAAGUACUUUCAGCGGGGAGGAAGGGAGUAAAGUUAAUACCUUUGCUCAUUGACGCUACCCGCAGAAGAAGCACCGGCUAACUCCGUGCCAGCAGCCGCGGUAAUACGGAGGGUGCAAGCGUUAAUCGGAAUUACUGGGCGUAAAGCGCACGCAGGCGGUUUGUUAAGUCAGAUGUGAAAUCCCCGGGCUCAACCUGGGAAGUGCAUCUGAUACUGGCAAGCUUGAGUCUCGUAGAGGGGGGUAGAAUUCCAGGUGUAGCGGUGAAAUGCGUAGAGAGCUGUAGGAAUACCGGUGGCGAAGGCGGCCCCCUGGACGAAGACUGACGCUCAGGUGCGAAAGCGUGGGGAGCAAGCAGG
rnacentral:rRNA from 1 species